GAAAAUGGUUGUGUGGCGCGGUAAGCAUCCUGCCCGUCCUUGGGGGUUAUCCCGGCCGCGGCUGGGGUCGACUCGCCCGGGCCCCCAUGGUCGGCUGGGUUUCAUUGGGUGUACAUUCAUGGGUUGAGGAGGGGCUUGCGUCUGAUUAGCUAGUUGGCAGGGUAACGGACUACCAAGGCGAUGAUCAGUAGGGGUUCUGAGAGGAUUGGCCCCCACAUGGGUACUGAGAUACGGACCCAACUCCUACGGGAGGCAGCGGUAGGGAAUAUUGGGCAAUGGAGGCAACUCUGACCCAGCCAUGCCGCGUGCCGGAUGAAGGCGCUCAGCGUUGUAAACGGCUUUUACUCAUGAAGAACUGUGGGGAUGCGUCCUUACUUGACGGUAAUGAGGGAAUAAGCACCGGCUAUCUCCGUGCCAGCAGCCGCGGUAAU
rnacentral:rRNA from 1 species